UGGUCUUGACAUCCACAGAACUUAGCAGAGAUGCUUUGGUGCCUUCGGGAACUGUGAGACAGGUGCUGCAUGGCUGUCGUCAGCUCGUGUUGUGAAAUGUUGGGUUAAGUCCCGCAACGAGCGCAACCCUUAUCCUUUGUUGCCAGCGGUCCGGCCGGGAACUCAAAGGAGACUGCCAGUGAUAAACUGGAGGAAGGUGGGGAUGACGUCAAGUCAUCAUGGCCCUUACGACCAGGGCUACACACGUGCUACAAUGGCAUAUACAAAGAGAAGCGACCUCGCGAGAGCAAGCGGACCUCAUAAAGUAUGUCGUAGUCCGGAUUGGAGUCUGCAACUCGACUCCAUGAAGUCGGAAUCGCUAGUAAUCGUAGAUCAGAAUGCUACGGUGAAUACGUUCCCGGGCCUUGUACACACCGCCCGUCACACCAUGGGAGUGGGUUGCAAAAGAAGUAGGUAGCUUAACCUUCGGGAGGGCGCUUACCACUUUGUGAUUCAUGACUGGGGUGAAGUCGUAACAAGGUAACCGUAGGGGAACCUGCGGUUGGAUCACCUCCUU
rnacentral:rRNA from 1 species